rnacentral:rRNA from 1 species
CCCUUAGAUGUUCUGGGCCGCACGCGCGCUACACUGAUGCAUUCAACGAGUCUAAAACCUGCUCUGAUAGGGGUGGGUAAUCUUUUGAAUGUGCAUCGUGAUUGGGAUAGAUGAUUGCAAUUUUUCAUCUUCAACGAGGAAUGCCUAGUAAACGCAAGUCAUCAGCUUGCAUUGAUUACGUCCCUGCCCUUUGUACACACCGCCCGUCGCUCCUACCGAUUGAAUGAUCCGAUGAAUAUCAUGGGUUGAGGAUUAUAGCAGGUUCGCCUGUCUUGAUCUUCGAGAAGUGAAGUAAAUCUUAUCAUUUAGAGGAAGGAGAAGUCGUAACA